GCAGCCCCACAAGGCCUUUACUGAACGCUAAAGCUCGAAGGUGCGGGUAUCGAACAGGAUUAGAUACCCUGGUAGUCCGCACGGUAAACGAUGGAUGCCCGCUGUUUGCGAUAUACUGUGAGCGGCCAAGAGAAAUCGUUAAGCAUCCCCACCUGGGGAGUACGCCGGCAACGGUGAAACUCAAAGGAAUUGACGGGGGCCCGCACAAGCGGAGGAACAUGUGGUUUAAUUCGAUGAUACGCGAGGAACCUUACCCGGGCUUGAACUGCAGCGGAAGGAUACAGAGAUGUUGACGUCCUUCGGGACCGCUGUGGAGGUGCUGCAUGGUUGUCGUCAGCUCGUGCCGUGAGGUGUCGGCUUAAGUGCCAUAACGAGCGCAACCCCUUUCAUUAGUUGCCAUCACUUCGGGUGGGCACUCUGGUGAUACUGCCACCGUAAGGUGUGAGGAAGGUGGGGAUGACGUCAAAUCAGCACGGUUUGACGGGCGGUGUGUACACACCUGUUACAAUUGUUGAUACAGAUGGCAGGUUCACGGCAACAUGGAUCAAAUCUUGAAAGUCAGGUUCAGUUCCGAUUGGGGUUCCGAACCGACCCCACGAA
rnacentral:rRNA from 1 species